rnacentral:rRNA from 1 species
UACGGAGGGUGCGAGCGUUAAUCGGAAUUACUGGGCGUAAAGGGUGCGUAGGUGGUUUGAUAAGUUAUCUGUGAAAGCCCUGGGCUCAACCUGGGAAGGCCGGAUAAGACUGUUAGACUGGAGUAUGGGAGAGGGUAGUGGAAUUUCCGGUGUAGCGGUGAAAUGCGUAGAGAUCGGAAGGAACACCAGUGGCGAAGGCGGCUACCUGGCCUGAUACUGACACUGAAGCACGAAAGCGUGGGGAGCAAACAGG